rnacentral:misc_RNA from 1 species
AGCGUCAUUGCUCACCUCAAGCUUGGCUUGGUCUUGGGCGUGCGUCCCGCGGGACGGGCCCGAAAAGCAGUGGCAGCGCGGCCGUGACCGCGAGCGUAGUAAUUAAUCGUUCGCUCCGCGCGUGACGCCGUGCCCGCCAGCCAACCUGUGAUUCAUCACCGGUUGACCUCGGAUCAGGUAGGGAUACCCGCUGAACUUAA